CUACCAGACUCCUACGGGAGGCAGCAGUGGGGGAUAUUGCACAAUGGGGGGAACCCUGAUGCAGCGACGCCGCGUGGGUGAAGAAGUAUUUCGGUAUGUAAAGCCCUAUCGGCAGGGAAGAAUUUAGACGGUACCUGACUAAGAAGCCCCGGCUAACUACGUGCCAGCAGCCGCGGUAAUACGUAGGGGGCAAGCGUUAUCCGGAUUCACUGGGUGUAAAGGGAGCGUAGACGGCCAUGCAAGCCUGGAGUGAAAGGCGGGGGCUCAACCCCCGGACUGCUCUGGAAACUGUACGGCUGGAGUGCAGGAGAGGUAAGUGGAAUUCCUAGUGUAGCGGUGAAAUGCGUAGAUAUUAGGAGGAACACCAGUGGCGAAGGCGGCUUACUGGACUGUAACUGACGUUGAGGCUCGAAAGCGUGGGGAGCAAACAGGAUUAGAUACCCGUGUAA
rnacentral:rRNA from 1 species